AUGUUUACGGAAUGUGAUGCUUUUUGUUACUUGCAUUACAUAUUCAUACAAAUACUUCUUGAUGCACAGAGAAGAAACAAUACUUCUUGGGGAAUAUAUUUUUUUUUUUUCGAACCGGGCUUUUCCCCUUUCCAUUACUUUCAUAACGGAAAUACAAUGUCUCAGGAACUGAAACCAGCAAGGCUAGAGAGAAAGAGGAAAAGCGAGUUCGGAGCAGCAUCAAGAAACCCACUAUCUGCGCCUGUCAUCAGGAACAACAGAUCAUGGGGUGAAAACUUGAUGUCACCCAAAACCGCGCUAACGAACACCUACGAGCAGUACUAUAAGUUUUACAGAUAA
rnacentral:rRNA from 1 species